UAGGGAAUAUUAGUAAUGGGCGAAAGCCUGAACUAGCAACGCCGCGUGUGCGAAGAAGGCCUUCGGGUUGUAAAGCACUUUUUGAGAGGAUGAGGAAGGACGGUACUCUCAGAAUAAGUCUCGGCUAACUACGUGCCAGCAGCCGCGGUAACACGUAGGAGGCAAACGUUAUCCGGGUUUACUGGGCGUAAAGCGCGUGUAGGUGGUUUGGUAAGUAGGGCGUGAAAGCUCCUGGCUCAACUGGGAGAGGCCGUUCUAAACUGCCGGACUAGAGGAUGGUAGAGGGAGGUGGAAUUCCGGGUGUAGCGGUGGAAUGCGCAGAUAUCCGGAGGAACACCAGUGGCGGAAGCGGCCUCCUGGACCAUUCCUGACACUCAGACGCGAAAGCUGGGGUAGCAAACGG
rnacentral:rRNA from 1 species